rnacentral:rRNA from 1 species
GGGUUGUGAGGUUAAGCGACUAAGCGUACACGGUGGAUGCCCUGGCAGUCAGAGGCGAUGAAGGACGUGCUAAUCUGCGAUAAGCGUCGGUAAGGUGAUAUGAACCGUUAUAACCGGCGAUUUCCGAAUGGGGAAACCCAGUGUGAUUCGUCACACUAUCAUUAACUGAAUCCAUAGGUUAAUGAGGCGAACCGGGGGAACUGAAACAUCUAAGUACCCCGAGGAAAAGAAAUCAACCGAGAUUCCCCCAGUAGCGGCGAGCGAACGGGGAGGAGCCCAGAGCCUGAAUCAGUGUGUGUGUUAGUGGAAGCGUCUGGAAAGGCGCGCGAUACAGGGUGACAGCCCCGUACACAAAAAUGCACAUGCUGUGAGCUCGAUGAGUAGGGCGGGACACGUGGUAUCCUGUCUGAAUAUGGGGGGACCAUCCUCCAAGGCUAAAUACUCCUGACUGACCGAUAGUGAACCAGUACCGUGAGGGAAAGGCGAAAAGAACCCCGGCGAGGGGAGUGAAAAAGAACCUGAAACCGUGUACGUACAAGCAGUGGGAGCACGCUUAGGCGUGUGACUGCGUACCUUUUGUAUAAUGGGUCAGCGACUUAUAUUCUGUAGCAAGGUUAACCGAAUAGGGGAGCCGAAGGGAAACCGAGUCUUAACUGGGCGUUAAGUUGCAGGGUAUAGACCCGAAACCCGGUGAUCUAGCCAUGGGCAGGUUGAAGGUUGGGUAACACUAACUGGAGGACCGAACCGACUAAUGUUGAAAAAUUAGCGGAUGACUUGUGGCUGGGGGUGAAAGGCCAAUCAAACCGGGAGAUAGCUGGUUCUCCCCGAAAGCUAUUUAGGUAGCGCCUCGUGAAUUCAUCUCCGGGGGUAGAGCACUGUUUCGGCAAGGGGGUCAUCCCGACUUACCAACCCGAUGCAAACUGCGAAUACCGGAGAAUGUUAUCACGGGAGACACACGGCGGGUGCUAACGUCCGUCGUGAAGAGGGAAACAACCCAGACCGCCAGCUAAGGUCCCAAAGUCAUGGUUAAGUGGGAAACGAUGUGGGAAGGCCCAGACAGCCAGGAUGUUGGCUUAGAAGCAGCCAUCAUUUAAAGAAAGCGUAAUAGCUCACUGGUCGAGUCGGCCUGCGCGGAAGAUGUAACGGGGCUAAACCAUGCACCGAAGCUGCGGCAGCGACGCUUAUGCGUUGUUGGGUAGGGGAGCGUUCUGUAAGCCUG